GACAGAGGGUGCAAACGUUGUUCGGAAUUACUGGGCGUAAAGCGCGUGUAGGCGGCUAAGUAAGUCGGGCGUGAAAUCCCACGGCUCAACCGUGGAAGUGCACUCGAAACUGCAUAGCUAGAGUCCUGGAGAGGAAGGUGGAAUGCUUGGUGUAGAGGUGAAAUUCGUAGAUAUCAAGCGGAACACCGGUGGCGAAGGCGGCCUCUGGACAGUGACUGACGCUGAGACGCGAAA
rnacentral:rRNA from 1 species